rnacentral:rRNA from 1 species
CAGCCACGCCGCGUGGGUGAUGAAGGCCUUCGGGUUGUAAGACCCUGUCGGAGGGGACGAAGUCUUCGGAUUGACGGUACCUUCCAAGAAAGCACCGGCUAACUCCGUGCCAGCAGCCGCGGUAAUACGGAGGGUGCAAGCGUUGCUCGGAAUUACUGGGCGUAAAGCGUACGCAGGCGGUCUGAUAAGUCGGGUGUGAAAGCCCCGGGCUCAACCCGGGAACUGCAUUCGAAACUGCCAGACUUGAGUUUGGGAGAGGGAAGUGGAAUUCCUGGUGUAGAGGUGAAAUUCGUUGAUAUCAGGAGGAACACCGGCGGCGAAAGCGGCUUCCUGGCCCGAUACUGACGCUCAUGUACGAAAGCGUGGGGAGCAAACAGGAUUAGAUACCCCUGGUAGUCCACGCCGUAAACGAUGAGUGCUAGAUGUUGGAGGUAUUCACCCCUUCAGUGUCGAAGCUAACGCAUUAAGCACUCCGCCUGGGGAGUACGGCCGCAAGGUUAAACUC